rnacentral:rRNA from 1 species
CCUCAGUAACGGCGAGUGAAGCGGCAACAGCUCAAAUUUGAAAUCUGGCCCCCAGGCCCGAGUUGUAAUUUGUAGAGGAUGCUUCUGGCGACGCGACUUCCGAGUUCCCUGGAACGGGACGCCAAAGAGGGUGAGAGCCCCGUCCGGUCGUUCGCCUAGCCUCUGUGAAGCUCCUUCGACGAGUCGAGUAGUUUGGGAAUGCUGCUCUAAAUGGGAGGUAUACGUCUUCUAAAGCUAAAUACCGGCCAGAGACCGAUAGCGCACAAGUAGAGUGAUCGAAAGAUGAAAAGCACUUUGAAAAGAGGGUUAAAUAGCACGUGAAAUUGCUGAAAGGGAAGCGCUUAUGACCAGACUUGGGCCAGGUGAAUCAUCCGGCGUUCUCGCCGGUGCACUUUGCCUGCCCAGGCCAGCAUCAGUUCGCUCCGGGGGAUAAAGGCUUCGGGAAUGUAGCUCCUCCGGGAGUGUUAUAGACCGUUGCGUAAUACCCUGGGGUGGACUGAGGUACGCGUUCUGCAAGGAUGCUGGCGUAAUGGUCAUCAGUGACCCGUCUUGAAACACGGACCAAGGAGUCGUCUUCGUAUGCGAGUGUUCGGGUGUAAAACCCCUACGCGUAAUGAAAGUGAACGUAGGAGAGAGCUUCGGCGCAUCUCCGACCGAUCCUGAUGUUCUCGGAUGGAUUUGAGUAAGAGCAUACGGGGCCG